CUAACCUGCCGCCAUCUUGUCUGCUGUUUUGGAGCAUCUGGAGCAGAGGUUCAUCUUUGCCUGUUGAAAAAGGGGAAGGGAAAACGAGACUCAGCAGUUGAGUAGAUCACUACCUCUUGGGUAUCAACCUGGUCCAUCUAACAAGAACUUGGAUGAUGUGAUGACCAAGGAGGGCUUCUGCUCUGGGAUAGAACUAAGGAAGCUGUGUAGUUAUAGAUUAGGGUCUCCCCCUAAUCUCAUGGGACUGGAGCCAUCCAGCUACUGUGAAAAUCUGAUGGAGAUAAGAGAUGACUGAUACUACUCAAGGGGUAAAGAAGAGAAUCAGUCUCCUGGAUGCUGCCACAUGCUGAAUUGGGUUGAGUUCUGGCAGCAGGAAGAAAGCCAGAAAAUAAAACAAAUUCUUUUAUGAAGAUGGUAUUCCAUUUUUGAACAGUCCUUUUGACAGAAAUAUUUCAUAGCCAAACACAUAGAUUCUAAGACAUGAUCCCCUGCCAUGAACCCACAAAUUGAGGCUGGGAAGGCUGCAUGAAAAUUGACUGAGGAAGUAUUUUAAGAUUCCAGUGUCCUUCCCCUAGUGGGUCUCAGGAGUGGGGUCUGGAUGGAGGAUUUGGACUUGUAAGUCAUCAACAUAUAUAUGGAACUCAAAGCCCCAGGAUUGAAAGAAAUGGCCUAGAGUGUGAAGACUGAAGAAACUGAAAAGAGAAAGAGAUUUGAACUUCAGUGUUUAGGUGAUAGAAAUAAAAAGAGAAUCAGUAAGAGGGACUGAGAAAAUACAUUUUUUAAAAAAGAAUUGGGAGACUUGAUUCUCUGUAUUCUAUACCCAACAUAUGUGUGAAUAAAGUUAUGUUUGGGUAAAAGGACAAAUGAUUACAUAUCAUGGAUGUCCAAGAGUUACUGACAAAGUCUGAUCUAUGAAUAUUAUAUCUGUGAAAGUUAAGAGUCUCAUGAACUUUUGGGACCCCUGAUAUGAUCUGCACAUCUCUCAAUACACAACAUUUAGUCAUCUUUGUAGGACAGUACUGUUCAUGACAUCACUGGUAAUAAAACCA